rnacentral:rRNA from 1 species
UACCCUGAGCGGCGGAUCCACUCGGCUCGUGGGUCGA